rnacentral:lncRNA from 1 species
AUUCUUCUUUACCUUUACUCAUGAAUUCCACUGAUUUUCAGUAAUUCUCAUGGAGUGUGGGAAGUGAAAAUUUGGGAGAAAAUACACAUCAAGAAUUGCCCCAGUAACACUGCAAAAUACACAAAGGAAAGAAAAAUGCAAACAUUUUGGAAGACAAAUACCAAUAUCACCCUGCAACACUAGAAGAUCCUUCAAAGACUGCCAGACCAAAGUGGGGGAGAAAAAGGCAACAAUUGGUGUGAGGAAUCAUAGUCCCUCAAAUUAUUUUACAGAAGAAAAGAAUGCUGAGAAAGAUGUUCCCUGAGAUGAUUAUCUACUGAUGCAAAUGGAGAAAUUGCUACUAAGGUGAGCAACAUCAGCAGCCACUUGCCAGGAGGAGAAAAAAUGUUAUUUCCUCUCCCUUUGCAUUUUAAAAUGCUGAUGCGGCAGCAGGUGUCUAACAGCUUCAAAAGCAUGAAAAUCAAGCAUUAAAAUGUUGUCUGAAUGCAGUACUGGUUUGUCUCACUCAUCUGACUAUAUCCAGACACCUGCUGCAAUCUUUCUUUCUUAAAGUUGAUUUGCAAAUAGGAUUUGGAGAACUCCAUUAGCUCUAGAAUAAUAUACAGAAUAGUGCACGGAGCACUGUGUCACGGGUGAGAAUGGGUAUUACACAGCCUUGAAGCUUCAUUUUUCUUAUUUUGUUUUCUUUCUGCUACAACAAAGACAUGGAUCACUGCUUUCCUCUCUGUGUGGUGGCCCCAGCAUGCUCUCUGCCAUGUAGUUAACAUCAUAUCCACCUUGGAAAAUCACUGGAGCAUGCAGCUGGCCCAUGGGAGUCAGGCAGGUGGUGCCUUAUUAGUGUAUUGCAUGGAUUUGCAGUUUCUCUAAAGCUUGCUUACUGAAGCGUCAUUCUUGCAAAUGCUGCUCUCACACUUAUUGCUUUAAUCUUUAGGCUAGUUCUACUACAAAUUAAUAGAAGCAAAUGAUGUGACUAAAGUACGCAUAUUCAUAUACAUCAACUUUCAUUAGGUUAUACAACAGUCCAUACAAGAAGAACUUUCAGAAUGUUUUUUUUUGAGGAACUUUGGAGAUACUUUUCAUAUUAUUUUAGCUGACAGCUCUAAUGUGAUUAAGUAAACAAGUCUCCACCAUUUGUAAACAAGCCCCAAAGAGGUCACAGCUUUUACAGAGAUGUUUGUAUUUGCUUGUUUGGUGAAUUGUUUGCACAAGUACUUGUAGCUCUUUACACAGACUAAUUUUUAGCUAUGGCUUUCAAAAGCCCCCGUAUGCCAUGCUGAGUAGA